UACGUAGGUGACAAGCGUUGUCCGGAUUUACUGGGCGUAAAGAGCGCGCAGGCGGUCGUUCAAGUCGAGUGUGAAAGCCCCCGGCUCAACUGGGGAGGGUCACUCGAUACUGAUCGACUCGAAGGCAGGAGAGGGUAGUGGAAUUCCCGGUGUAGUGGUGAAAUGCGUAGAUAUCGGGAGGAACACCAGUGGCGAAGGCGGCGUCCUGGACCAACACUGACACUGAGGAGCGAAAGCCAGGGGAGCAAACGGG
rnacentral:rRNA from 1 species